CAAGUCGCACGAGAAAGUGGAGCAAUCCAUGAGUACAGUGGCGCACGGGUGAGUAACACGUGAAUGAUCUACCUCCGAGUGGGGAAUAACCUAGAGAAAUCUGGGCUAAUACCGCAUAACACUUACGAGUCAAAGCAGCAAUGCGCUUGGAGAGGAGUUCGCGGCCGAUUAGUUAGUUGGCAGGGUAAUGGCCUACCAAGACGAUGAUCGGUAUCCGGCCUGAGAGGGCGCACGGACACACUGGAACUGAAACACGGUCCAGACUCCUACGGGAGGCAGCAGUGGGGAAUUUUGCGCAAUGGGGGAAACCCUGACGCAGCAACGCCGCGUGGAGGAUGAAAUCCCUUGGGAUGUAAACUCCUUUCGAUGGGGAAGAUUAUGACGGUACCCAUAGAAGAAGCCCCGGCUAACUUCGUGCCAGCAGCCGCGGUAAUACGAGGGGGGCAAGCGUUGUUCGGAAUUAUUGGGCGUAAAGGGUGCGUAGGCGGUUUGGCAAGUCUGAUGUGAAAUCUAUGGGCUCAACCCAUAGUCUGCAUCGGAAACUGUCGGGCUGGAGUAUGGGAGAGGUGAGUGGAAUUUCCGGUGUAGCGGUGAAAUGCGUAGAUAUCGGAAGGAACACCUGUGGCGAAAGCGGCUCACUGGACCAUUACUGACGCUGAUGCACGAAAGCUAGGGGAGCAAACAGGAUUAGAUACCCUGGUAGUCCUAGCCCUAAACGAUGAUUGCUUGAUGUGGCAGGUACCCAAUCCUGCCGUGUCGAAGCUAACGCGAUAAGCAAUCCGCCUGGGGAGUACGGUCGCAAGGCUGAAACUCAAAGGAAUUCACGGGGGCCCGCACAAGCGGUGGA
rnacentral:rRNA from 1 species